UUGACUGUGCAAAGGUAGCAUAAUCAUUAGUUUUUUAAUUAAAAGCUUGUAUGAAUGAUUGGACGAGAUAGGUUCUGUCUUUAAUUAAAUAGUAGAAUUUUAUUUUUAAGUUAAAAAGCUUAAAUAUUUAUAUAAGACGAGAAGACCCUAUAGAUCUUUAUAUAAAUUAUUUAUAAGUUUAUUAGAGAUUUUUAUAUAAUUUAUUUUUGUUUAUAUUUUAUUGGGGUAAUAUAAAGAUUGGGUUAAUUCUUUAUUUUUAUUUACAUAAUUAAAUGUUUAUUUUGAUCCAUUAUUAUUGAUUGUAAGAUUAAGUUACCUUAGGGAUAACAGCGUAAUUUUUUUAGAAAGUUCUUAUUGAUAAAAAAGUUUGCGACCUCGAUGUUGGAUUAAAAAUUAUUUUAGGUGCAGAAGCUUAAAUUUUUGGUCUGUUCGACCAUUAAAUUUUUACAUUGGAUUAAAAGUAAUCUUAGGUGCAGAAGUUUAAGAUUUUGGUCUGUUCGACCAUUAAAUUUUUACA
rnacentral:rRNA from 1 species